GAUCCUGGCUCAGGAUGAACGCUGGCGGCGUGCUUAACACAUGCAAGUCGAACGAAGCACUUAAGAUUGAUUCUUCGGAUGAAGUCUUUUGUGACUGAGUGGCGGACGGGUGAGUAACGCGUGGGUAACCUGCCUUAUACUGGGGGAUAACAGCCAGAAAUGACUGCUAAUACCGCAUAAGCGCACGGGGCCGCAUGGUCCUGUGUGAAAAACUCCGGUGGUAUAAGAUGGACCCGCGUUGG
rnacentral:rRNA from 1 species